GCCACAUCUGGUGACACCCACCUUGGCGGGCAGGAUCUCAACAGCCGGAUGGUGGAACACUUUGUACAGGAUUUCCUUAAGAGACACAAGAGUGACAUCAGAAACAACCCAAAGGCGCUCAUGCGGCUGAGGGCAGCCUGUGAGAGGGCCAAGAGAAUGCUGUCUUCCAUGGUGCAGGCAAAAUUUGAGAUCGACUCGCUUCACGACAGCAUUGACUUCUAUGGCACCAUUACCCGCGCCCGUUUUGAGGAGCUCAACAUGGACCUCUUCCGUAAAUGCACUGAACAUGUCGAGAAGUGCCUCGGUGAUGCCAAGAUGGACAAAUCCCAGAUCCAUGACGUCGUGCUUGUGGGUGGCUCCAGCCGGAUCCCCAAGGUGCAGCAGCUGCUCCAGGAUUUCUUUGACGGGAAGAUCCUCUGCAAGAGCAUCAACCCUGAUGAGGCUGUCGCCUACGGUGCCGCUGUCCAGGCCGCUGCCCUCAGUGGCGAAUGUGACCAGAAGGUGAAGGACUUGCUCCUCCUUGAUGUGACGCCCCUCUCACUCGGUAUAGAGGUAAUAGGUGGUUUGAUGAGCGUGCUGAUCCCCAGGACUACUACCAUCCCCUUCAAGAAGGAACGGAUUUACACGACCCAUUAUGACAACCAGACGAGCGUGCUCAUUCAGGUGUACGAGGGUGAAGGGGCGAUGACCAAGGACAACAACCUCCUCGGCAAGUUCAUCCUCCACGGCAUCCCCCCAGCGCCAAGGCUUGUGCCCAAGAUCAAUGUGACAUUUGCGAUUGAAGCCAACUGCAUCCUGAAGGUGUCGGCGGAGGACAUGACGACUGGAAGCAAGAACAGCAUCACCAUCACUACUGACAAGGGUGGGCUGAGCAAGGAAGAGAUUGAGCGCAUGGUGCGAGAUGCUGAGAAGUACCAGUCGGAGGACAGGAAGGAAAUGAAGAAAAUUAUAAAGAAGGAAGACGGGGAGGGUUGGGUGAGCAAGGAGGAGUUCGAGCGCAUGGUGCAGAAGAAGCGCAUGAUGCAGUCCGAAGACAAGACACAAGUUAAGAAGAUAAAGAAGGAAGGUGGAGGCCGGUAA
rnacentral:rRNA from 1 species